rnacentral:lncRNA from 1 species
UUUUAAGCAUGGCAUCAAACCAUGUCUUGAUUAUAGUUAAAAUAAAUGCAAAAAGGUGGAACCAUGGCAUUCGACUUUGAUCGCAACUGAUUGCUGCAUGGAACUGGAGGAAAGUGAGAUGGGCAUAAUGCAAAGUGUCUUGGAUUGGAGGAACUGCAUAGCAGCCCCAACAUUUUCUUCCAUAAGCUUCGCUACAUGUCAUUCCGUACCAUCGUUUGACCAUUUCUCCCUGGCUGGUUGGUUUCUUCCAUCUUCAGGACCUUCCCUACCUUCUUUCUGAUUAAAAUCAAUCAUAAAAAAGACGCAGAAUAUAUAAUAAAAGGAACAACUUUCCUGCAAGAAAAAUUGAAAAUCCACAUUACCUCAACUGGGGAGAUUGGGAUAUCAGCCACAAGUGG